GGGGGAGUAUGGUCGCAAGGCUGAAACUUAAAGGAAUUGACGGAAGGGCACCACCAGGAGUGGAGCCUUCGGCUAAAUUUGACUCAACACGGGGAAACUUACCAGGUCCAGGCAUAGUAAGGAUUGACAGACCGAGAGCUCUUUCUUGAUUCUAUGGGUGGUGGUGCAUGGCCGUUCAUAGUUGGUGGAGGGAUUUGUCUGGUUAAUUCCGUUAACGAACAAGACCUCAGCCUGCUAACUAGCUAUGCGGAGGUAUCCCUUCGCGGCCAGCUUCUUAGAGGGACUACGGCCUUUUAGGCCGCGGAAGUUUGAGGCAAUAACAGGUAUGUGAUGCCCUUAGAUGUUCUGGGCCGCACGCGUGCUACACUGAUGUAUUCAACGAGUUUAUAGCCUUGGCCUACAGGCCCGGGUAAUCUUUGAAAUUUCAUCGUGAUGGAGAUAGAUCAUUGCAAUUGUUGGUCUUCAACGAGGAAUUCCUAGUAAGCGCGAGUCAUCAGCUUACGUUGACUACGUCUCUGCCCUUUGUACACACCGCCCGUCGCUCCUACCGAUUGAAUGAUCUGGUGAAAUGUUCGGAUCGCAGCGACGUGGGCGGUUAGGUGCCCGCGACGUCGCGAGAAGUCCAUUGAACCUUAUAAUUUAGAGGAAGGAGAAGUCGUAACCAGGUUUCCGUAGGUGAACCUGCGGAAA
rnacentral:rRNA from 1 species